rnacentral:rRNA from 1 species
CCUACGGGGGGCGGCAGUGAGGAAUAUUGCACAAUGGGCGAAAGCCUGAUGCAGCAACGCCGCGUGGAGGAUGACGCAUUUCGGUGUGUAAACUCCUUUUAUAAGAGAAGAAAAUGACGGUAUCUUAUGAAUAAGUCCCGGCUAACUCCGUGCCAGCAGCCGCGGUAAUACGGAGGGGACAAGCGUUAUUCGGAAUCACUGGGCGUAAAGGACGCGUAGGCGGGUUAUUAAGUCGGGUGUGAAAUCCAAUGGCUCAACCAUUGAACUGCAUUCGAAACUGGUAACCUAGAGUAUGGAAGGGGCAGGUGGAAUUAGUGGUGUAGGGGUAAAAUCCGUAGAUAUCACUAGGAAUACCGAAAGCGAAGGCGACCUGCUGGGACAUUACUGACGCUGAGGCGUGAAAGCGUGGGGAGCAAACAGGAUUAGAUACCCUGGUAGUCCACGCCCUAAACGAUGAAUGCUAGUCGUCGGGGAGCUCGUCUCUUCGGUGAUGCACUUAACAGAUUAAGCAUUCCGCCUGGGGAGUACGGUCGCAAGAUUAAAACUCAAAGGAAUUGACGG